rnacentral:rRNA from 1 species
GGCGGACGGGUGAGUAAUGCCUAGGAAUCUGCCUGGUAGUGGGGGAUAACGUCCGGAAACGGGCGCUAAUACCGCAUACGUCCUGAGGGAGAAAGUGGGGGAUCUUCGGACCUCACGCUAUCAGAUGAGCCUAGGUCGGAUUAGCUAGUUGGUGGGGUAAAGGCCUACCAAGGCGACGAUCCGUAACUGGUCUGAGAGGAUGAUCAGUCACACUGGAACUGAGACACGGUCCAGACUCCUACGGGAGGCAGCAGUGGGGAAUAUUGGACAAUGGGCGAAAGCCUGAUCCAGCCAUGCCGCGUGUGUGAAGAAGGUCUUCGGAUUGUAAAGCACUUUAAGUUGGGAGGAAGGGCAGUAAGUUAAUACCUUGCUGUUUUGACGUUACCAACAGAAUAAGCACCGGCUAACUUCGUGCCAGCAGCCGCGGUAAUACGAAGGGUGCAAGCGUUAAUCGGAAUUACUGGGCGUAAAGCGCGCGUAGGUGGUUCAGCAAGUUGG